UAUAUAUAAUUUUAUAUAUAUAAUUAUAUAUUAUAUUUUUUUAAACAAUAACACUAUUCUGAACCACUGAACUCAUGAAUAAUAUAAUUGGAAUAAUGGAUCUGGAAAGUGAAUUUUAACCUCUGGACGUGCAUAUAUGGUAGAUUAUACAAUUUCAAAUUUUGCUAUUCCGCAAAAGUUACGUAAACAAAAUGAAGCGUUAAUAAAAGAAGAAGGAUGAUUAUUUUGAAACACAUUUUCUGUUGCCGAGAUGCUCAUCAUUUACCGGGCCUGGAAACAUACCGACGAACUUGAAGAGAAUUUUAUCGAGUUUAGUAAAUAAAUUUUUUUAAUUCACAUUUUUGUAUACGCGAUAAAAUUUCAAGCAGUUAUAUAAUAAGCGCAUCUGAAAAAUUGUAAAAAGCACGGAUAAUUAAUAGAAAAUUAUUCUCAUCUUGAUAGCGACACUUGUCUCUAUAUGAUUCAUUUUAUUUUAUGCAUCAUAUCGUUUUAUAGCGAUAGCUUCAAAAUCAAACUAUUUUAGUAGGACACAUAUAUAUAUAUAUUUCAUACUCGAUAAAAUACUUUGUGUAUUCACUUUUUUAUGUAUGUCAACGAAAUAAUUUAGGAAUGUAUGCUAUGAAAGCCUAUCCUGAUAUUAUAUUGCUUUCUAAUAUAGUAUUAUGUUCAUUUUUAUUCUAUCAUGGCACAUUAAUCUUAUGAGAAAUUUAACGCAUGUAAGUUGAAGUAAUCGAUACGAAUAAAACUGCCAACGUCUCAAAAAAUUUAAAA